rnacentral:piRNA from 1 species
UGAGCCUCACACAAGUGCCAACGAAAUGG